rnacentral:rRNA from 1 species
AUUGAACGCUGGCGGCAGGCCUAACACAUGCAAGUCGAGCGAGCGGCGGACGGGUGAGUAAUGUCUGGGGAUCUGCCUGAUUGAGGGGGAUAACUACUGGAAACGGUGGCUAAUACCGCAUACUAUCGGAUGUACCCAUAUGGGAUUAGCUGGUGGGUGGGGUAACGGCUCACCAAGGCGACGAUCCCUAGCUGGUCUGAGAGGAUGACCAGCCACACUGGAACUGAGACACGGUCCAGACUCCUACGGGAGGCAGCAGUGGGGAAUAUUGCACAAUGGGCGCAAGCCUGAUGCAGCCAUGCCGCGUGUAUGAAGAAGGCCUUAGGGUUGUAAAGUACUUUCAGCGGGGAGGCGUUACCCGCAGAAGAAGCACCGGCUAACUCCGUGCCAGCAGCCGCGGUAAUUC